CGAGUCGGUCGGACGGUCGCGUUGGGUGCCCUCGGGCGCCUGCCGAGGAACGUCCGGGCUCCACAGGGCAAGGUGGUGGCUAACAGCCACCCGGGGUGACCCGCGGGACAGUGCCACAGAAAACAGACCGCCCUCGGUCUCAGGACCGGGGGUAAGGGUGAAACGGUGGUGUAAGAGACCACCAGCGCUGCCGGUGACGGCAGCGGCUAGGUAAACCCCACCUGGAGCAAGGUCAGACAGACUGUGUUUGAGGGCUGCCCGCCCGAUUCUCUUCUGAGAAGCACAGUCGGGUAGACCGCUCGAGCCCUGCGGCAACGCAGGGCCUAGAUGGAUGACCGUCGCCCACGCUGGGGUAACCCGGCGCGGGAACAGAACCCGGCGUACAGACCGGCUCGUCCG
rnacentral:RNase_P_RNA from 1 species